rnacentral:rRNA from 2 species
UUUCAACAACGGAUCUCUUGGCUCUCGCAUCGAUGAAGAACGCAGCGAAAUGCGAUAAGUAAUGUGAAUUGCAGAAUUCAGUGAAUCAUCGAAUCUUUGAACGCACCUUGCGCCCC